rnacentral:rRNA from 1 species
AAAUUGAAGAGUUUGAUCAUGGCUCAGAUUGAACGCUGGCGGCAGGCCUAACACAUGCAAGUCGAGCGGUAGCACAGAGAGCUUGCUCUCGGGUGACGAGCGGCGGACGGGUGAGUAAUGUCUGGGAAACUGCCUGAUGGAGGGGGAUAACUACUGGAAACGGUAGCUAAUACCGCAUAACGUCGCAAGACCAAAGUGGGGGACCUUCGGGCCUCAUGCCAUCAGAUGUGCCCAGAUGGGAUUAGCUAGUAGGUGGGGUAACGGCUCACCUAGGCGACGAUCCCUAGCUGGUCUGAGAGGAUGACCAGCCACACUGGAACUGAGACACGGUCCAGACUCCUACGGGAGGCAGCAGUGGGGAAUAUUGCACAAUGGGCGCAAGCCUGAUGCAGCCAUGCCGCGUGUGUGAAGAAGGCCUUCGGGUUGUAAAGCACUUUCAGCGGGGAGGAAGGCGGUGAGGUUAAUAACCUCAUCGAUUGACGUUACCCGCAGAAGAAGCACCGGCUAACUCCGUGCCAGCAGCCGCGGUAAUACGGAGGGUGCAAGCGUUAAUCGGAAUUACUGGGCGUAAAGCGCACGCAGGCGGUCUGUCAAGUCGGAUGUGAAAUCCCCGGGCUCAACCUGGGAACUGCAUUCGAAACUGGCAGGCUAGAGUCUUGUAGAGGGGGGUAGAAUUCCAGGUGUAGCGGUGAAAUGCGUAGAGAUCUGGAGGAAUACCGGUGGCGAAGGCGGCCCCCUGGACAAAGACUGACGCUCAGGUGCGAAAGCGUGGGGAGCAAACAGGAUUAGAUACCCUGGUAGUCCACGCCGUAAACGAUGUCGAUUUGGAGGUUGUACCCUUGAGGCGUGGCUUCCGGAGCUAACGCGUUAAAUCGACCGCCUGGGGAGUACGGCCGCAAGGUUAAAACUCAAAUGAAUUGACGGGGGCCCGCACAAGCGGUGGAGCAUGUGGUUUAAUUCGAUGCAACGCGAAGAACCUUACCUGGUCUUGACAUCCACAGAACUUAGCAGAGAUGCUUUGGUGCCUUCGGGAACUGUGAGACAGGUGCUGCAUGGCUGUCGUCAGCUCGUGUUGUGAAAUGUUGGGUUAAGUCCCGCAACGAGCGCAACCCUUAUCCUUUGUUGCCAGCGGUUAGGCCGGGAACUCAAAGGAGACUGCCAGUGAUAAACUGGAGGAAGGUGGGGAUGACGUCAAGUCAUCAUGGCCCUUACGACCAGGGCUACACACGUGCUACAAUGGCAUAUACAAAGAGAAGCGACCUCGCGAGAGCAAGCGGACCUCAUAAAGUAUGUCGUAGUCCGGAUUGGAGUCUGCAACUCGACUCCAUGAAGUCGGAAUCGCUAGUAAUCGUAGAUCAGAAUGCUACGGUGAAUACGUUCCCGGGCCUUGUACACACCGCCCGUCACACCAUGGGAGUGGGUUGCAAAAGAAGUAGGUAGCUUAACCUUCGGGAGGGCGCUUACCACUUUGUGAUUCAUGACUGGGGUGAAGUCGUAACAAGGUAACCGUAGGGGAACCUGCGGUUGGAUCACCUCCUUA